AGACCCGAAACCCGGUGAUCUAGCCAUGGGCAGGUUGAAGGUUGGGUAACACUAACUGGAGGACCGAACCGACUAAUGUUGAAAAAUUAGCGGAUGACCUGUGGCUGGGGGUGAAAGGCCAAUCAAACCGGGAGAUAGCUGGUUCUCCCCGAAAGCUAUUUAGGUAGCGCCUCGUGAAUUCAUCUCCGGGGGUAGAGCACUGUUUCGGCUAGGGGGCCAUCCCGGCUUACCAACCCGAUGCAAACUGCGAAUACCGGAGAAUGUUAUCACGGGAGACACACGGCGGGUGCUAACGUCCGUCGUGAAGAGGGAAACAACCCAGACCGCCAGCUAAGGUCCCAAAGUCAUGGUUAAGUGGGAAACGAUGUGGGAAGGCCCAGACAGCCAGGAUGUUGGCUUAGAAGCAGCCAUCAUUUAAAGAAAGCGUAAUAGCUCACUGGUCGAGUCGGCCUGCGCGGAAGAUGUAACGGGGCUAAACCAUGCACCGAAGCUGCGGCAGCGAACGUAUCACCCAAGACAACUUUACGGAGUUGACGAUUGACGGAGCGAAGCGACGUCAAAGCGUUCAUUAAAGUCGAGUUGGCUUAGGGAUACGUUCGUUGGGUAGGGGAGCGUUCUGUAAGCCUGU
rnacentral:rRNA from 2 species